GCACUGGUGGUCCAGCGGCCACGACUCCGCCCUCGUAGCGUGGCAACAAGGGUUCGACUCCCUUCCAGUGCU
rnacentral:tRNA from 1 species